GAAAAACGACGGUGGUAUUCAAUACAAGAAAC
rnacentral:tRNA from 1 species